rnacentral:rRNA from 1 species
UACGUAGGGUGCAAGCGUUAAUCGGAAUUACUGGGCGUAAAGAGUGCGUAGGCGGAUGUAUAAGUUAGAAGUGAAAUCCCUGAGCUUAACUUAGGAACAGCUUUUAAGACUGUAGAUCUAGAGUUUAUCAGAGGGGGGUAGAAUUCCAAGUGUAGCAGUGAAAUGCGUAGAGAUUUGGAGGAAUACCGAUGGCGAAGGCAGCCCCCUGGGAAAGAACUGACGCUGAGGCACGAAAGCGUGGGUAGCAAACAGG